CACAUACAUAUUUUAUUCAGGGGUAUCUUAUAAAAAAAUAAGAAAUUACAUUGAUUGUAUUUUAUAUCAAAAAGCAUGUCUAACAAGAGAUAUAUAAAAUUAUAUCUUUAUCAAUUUUGUGAACAAUAGAAAUGCAUAUUUUAUGACAGAAAAAUACAUAUUU